AUGCCGACGCUAACGGGCUAUGCCCCGUUACAUGAAAGAAAACACGGAUCUGAGUGCUCAAUAUUGGUUCGUGGAGGGAACAUUGUAUGGAUUAAUGACAUUGCAGCAACGCUCCUGAUUGGCUGGGCACGAUUUAACUUACUUUUACCAAAACUAAACCAAAAAAGGAGUCCUUAUCAGGAAUUGUCGAUCGAAUGGGGACGAGCCACGAGCGAGGCAUGCAGAAUCGAGCGGGAACUGUGGAUUGGGAGCAGUUGCAGUGGGCUAACGGUGAUCAUUCGAUUUUGAAAAAAAUGAAUCAGGA
rnacentral:lncRNA from 1 species